ACCCGCAGGAGCUGAGCACCGAGCUCAUGCCGUGCCAUGCCAGGAGGAGAUGGGUGGCUGUCCUUUCCUUUAUGUGUCCUUCCAGCUGCAGCUCCCCUGGGAGCAGGAGAAGCUCCCAGGUGUGUGCUGCCUGGUGCACACGUGGCUCACCACAGCCUCACCCGCUCCUUCACCAGGGUCCCUGAGACCACAGUUACAGCCCCAGGGAAGUGGUGGCCCCUUCAACAGCAGCUUGAAGAUGCUCACUGGAAGAGAGGAGCCCUCCUGUUCCCAGGAUCAAGGAAUGAUGUCCAGCUGUUAUCCUGCUCCCUUUCAAGAUGAUGUCAGGUCAUCUAUGGCAUUUCAAGCAUCCUUGAGGCUCUUUACCUUUGAGACCCUUCAUAGCCACUACAAAAGAUCACAGCAAGUUGCAGAGUGAAGACUACAAUCAGCUUCAGUGCUCUCAGACACAGUUCCCUGAGGUACGGAAAUCACUGUGGUAAGAAAAAGCUAGGGCAGAAGUAGAACUGAUUUUUAGAGCUCUGAGUCUGAAGAAUGAACUUCCAAUAAGCUGACGACCACCGCAAACCACAGAACUUCCUGUUCCAACUGUAUUUGACCUUGUCUGUCUAACAAUAAUAAAAAGUGCUGGUAUCCCACCAAGAGACAUUGCUGCAGAAGACUCAUCACCGCUGCAAAGCACACUGCUGAGAGUCAGUGGAAGAUCAGGCUGUAUGUGUGAACAGCAAAUAUCCUGAAGGGCCUAAUAAGAAUAUGCAAGUAUCCUUUAAAUCUGCAAGAUUUGAACGAGAAAAGUACAGCACUGUCCCUCCUAGAGAAUUCCAGCUAGCGUGCUGCUUCUGCUGUUCACCAUCUUCAGCCACCCAUGAGGGAAAUCAGUGUUGUCUGAGGAAGGACUGAAAAAGUUAUCACCACUUUUGUCCUACUUGAAGCACAGUUUUUAUAACACUGACAGAUACAGUGCAUUGGUCACACCUAAAUGACAACUAUUUCUACACUUAUUUUUUUCCAUCUAUGCAGCUCAGGAGUGGACAGCAAGACUCACAUCUACUUUUGGGGUAUGGAAGCUGAAAGGAUUAGGCAAAAUGUUGUCAGACAACUUAAGCAAGUGCCUUAAUACAUAUCCAUAUGCCUUCUGCUAAACACCCAAUUAAAGGCUCUGUGAAUUUGAGUCUAGAAGGCAGGGAUUCCUCAGUCCAAUAGCAUUUUUAAUUAAUUCCUCAUUAGCAUAAUAUUGAAUAUUAUAGCACCAAGUAAUCCAGUAAUUACAGUUUUGCUUUUCAAAUCUGCAGUUAUUGAUGCAGGUGACAGCAAAGCAACUCUGAAAUUUCUCAAAAGCAAAAUAACUUACAUUUACGUCUUUAUUAGUAAAUGCAUUUCUGAAGGACAUCAUGUGAAUUGUAUUUAGUAAGAUCCUUACAGAGCUUUUACUACCUCAGCAUUAAAUACUUGAGAAUCCUACUUGAGCAGUAAUAAUGUCAUCUCUUUCUUUCUAAGAAAGCCUGUUUGACUUGACAAAACAUAUAUUGUCAAAUGCAUGGCAGGCGCAGAUGACACAGGGAGAUAACACAGUACAAGCAGUCAUAAGGUCUGAAACUCAGAGAACUACCAGAAAUUCCCAUACAACUUUUAUUCUUAUGCUAUAUUUCUUGUGAAUUUCCUCUUUCAAGAUAUGAAUAUUUAUAGAAAUGCCAAAAUCAUGAGAAUAACCUUACUUUUGCAAUUUUUUUAGCUUGUAUAUCAUUAUCUUUCCACUCUUUUUUUUUUUGACAACUGUAGCUAGUCUAAGAUAGUUGUUGUGUAUAUGACUAUAUAGUGACUUUUGUUGAUAUUCUUGGAGACUUCUAACAUAAUCAAAAAUACAUAAUAAUAUCUACCUGUCAGAUAUGGCUUCUCCAGUGAAGAACUAUAAUCAAAAUUAUAACUUUGGAGGGAGUUUGCCAAAACUAAAAUAAAAGCUAGAAAUACACUCAUCUGUAACAAGGCUAACUUAUCUCAUAGUAGUUGUUGUAAAAGCAUGAAUGACAUAAUGUUCCCUGGGUAAUUCUGUGAUGGCCAACUUUUUAUAUGCAAACAUUGCAAAGAGCCUUGCAAACAAUCAGAAUUAAUUCAUAGCUCCCAGUAACACUGACUAUACUCCACGGGGCAAGUCUGGCAAACCCCUCCAUGUCACUCCUGAAGGGACAUCUGGCUCUGACCUGAGGGUGCAUUAGGGCAAGCCCUGGGGGAUCACCAUCUCCCUCAGUGCCUGGCUUACUGGAGGAAACCCACUCAACAGUCAGAAAGGGAGCUGCAGCAGCUCACUGUGGAGCACAGCCAGUCUGCAGUGAGCUACUAAUGGCUACACCGUAGUUAAGCCCACAGGAGCAGCAUGAACCAAACCAGCAGUUCUCUCAGGACAAUACUAUGAUGUGGGUUUAGUAAGGAAAGUGCUGAUGGCAGAGACAUAACAGAGCCAUCCAUGACAGUCCAAAUAAAGAACUACAUGGUGUUUUUCUUUAGGGUUUGGUUUUUUGUUUUGUUGUUUGGUUGUUUUUUUUUCCAAUAUAUCAGUAUGCAUACAGAAAGGAUAGAUUGUUUGGAAAUUGUUUAAUUUCUCUAGAUGGAUGGAUAUCCCAGAAGUUUUUAUUAUUCCUUCAGCUGAUGCUGGUAGACAAUCCUGGAUGUUCAGUAUCUUUCAAAAUCAAGUCACAGACAUGAGAUAGAUUAGGGCCUAAUUUUCAGCUAUCUUUUUUUAAAAGGAUCUGGGUUACAGUCUUGAGAAGCAGAAUACUUGUAAGAAGUUCGUAUCAUCUUUCUGCUCUGUAUAAUAAAGUGGCAUGCGGUAUUUUCUGCAGGUGCACACAUUCACUUUGCAGCCAAUCUGAAAUAUGUUCAGAUCAUAUAAUACUCAGUGAUGUUGCUGCCCUCUUUGAAUGAGUUUAGGAAAUUAUGCCCAAGCCCAGGGAUGUGCGUAGGUGUCUGAUGACCAAUGCAAUCAGUAGGAGCUGGGUGUUUAACUGUCUUCACAUACCCAGGACAGAAUGGUGGUAAACAGUCUGUUGAUACAACUUUCUACAGCUACCAAGGGCAAUGCCAAUACCAGUGACUGCAGUGAACAGGGAGGCUGGGACCCUGCUCAGAAAUGCUGCAAGUCACAGUGUGGAUACACCUAGGAUGAAAGGGCACCCCUCACCUGCUAGGAUCUCCCCUCCUAGAAGCCAACAUGGCCACGGCUCUGUCUCCACAGGACAUUCACAAAAGCAAACCUGCACCAGCACGUACCCAGAGGAACCCCACCACACCCAAACAGGCCAGGACAGCUGCACACACCGCCCAGGUGUAUCACAGAGCCCAUUCUUCUCCACUACCAUGUGGGAUCAGGCCCUGCUUCUGCUUGAAGCUGCCCAUGUUCUUGUAUGGGCCUGUACCUCACCAAUGUUCAGAUACAAACCUGUGCAUGGAUUUUUCAAAGGUAUUCAAAAUUAGUUUUGAAAACUGUAAAAUACUGAUCUGUCGACAGGCUGGUCAUAUCUCCUAUAGUUUCAUUACCUCAAAUGAACCUGAAGAAUCAGGAAAUGUUUUGCUUCAGUUUCUCAUUGAAUCAAUGAAAAAGAAAUGUGUUCUUCCUGAUGCUUCACCUGUGAAUGAUCAGGUUUGCAGACAGCACUUCUGCCAUCUCCCUGAGCUACAGAAGGGCAGACACUGGCCAAGGAGGGCAACACUUGGGCACUGCCCCUGAUGCGGUCAACAGAGCUGCCCUCUGGUACUUGGAUCAGCCUGGGUACCUUUCUCAUUUGAGUCCCAGUUCUGCCACUGCCAAGGUAACAAGAGUUUGUGAUGGGGCAUGUUCAGGCUUCCAACACAUUAAGAAUAAUGCUAAUGAUAUUAUAUGUUUUGUCUGCAGUACGGUCUGGUGCUUAGAAAGUAAACAUCUUGGCUUUGUCUCAAUGUUUAUCUUCAAUAAAUACCUCAGCUUUGUCUCAACAAUUAUCUCUCCACAGCAGACCAUUAUCCAGUAGCAACAUAUAAUUCAUUUAACAGUACUGUUUAAAAUAUAUCCUCUUUAUGCUGCAGAGAAAGGAGCUGUAUGUGGGAAAU